AAUCGCUUAAACUUGGGAGGUGGAGGCUGCAGUGAGCUGAGAUCAUGCCACUGCACCCCAGCCUGGGCAAGAGUGAGACUCCUGAGAGUUCCAAGGAACAACACAAGUAGAGUGAGGUCCAAAGGGGAAGCUGAUAGUUCUACCUGGGUCACCCCAAGGGGGACUCAAAGGCUGGGGCAGAGAGAACCAGAGGGAGGUGGGCCUGUUCAGGAGUUCUCAGGAUGGAGCCAGAGCAGGUCCAGAAGGCCCUACAAUCCUUAGUGACCUAAGGGCAGACAAAGGGGGAAAGCAGCAGCAAAGAUCACUGCUUAGGGCAAGAGGAAAAGUCCUUGAGAGUUGGUUCAGACUAAGAAGGACCUUGAGUCACGAAUUUGAACACAAAUGCUGGGACUCCAGAACCUCUGGUCCACAGUCAGCGGGUGAACAGCACUACCAUGUCUCUGGGUACCUGUUUGCACAAGCGGAAGCUACACCCAGGCCCUGCAGUCCCCUGCACUGCGUUAGAAAAAGUAUCGCCAGGCCGGGUGCGGUGGCUCAUACCUGUAAUCCCAGCACUUUGGGAG
rnacentral:lncRNA from 1 species